UACAAAGAUCUUUUAGCUAAUUGGAAAAAUGUUUUUAAACUUGUUUUCUCGAUUUUGAAUUUCAAAAAUUAAAUUUUUUUUAAAAAAACUUUAGAUAACAUUUUUACGAGUAUUUUCUGGAAUUUUUCUCAAUUCUAUUGAAAAGUUGCCAAUCAAUAAACAUUAUUUUCAAUCGUUGAUUUUCAUAAGAAAAUUCCAAAACUUACCUCAUUAGUUAUUAUACUGAAACUCGUUUUUUUAAUCUUUUCUCGAAAAAAGUCACGAUCACAACAAGUGGUACUUUUUUGACUGAUUCAUCGCAUUUUGCGUCGAAAAAUCAUUACGAAUACAGCAUUUUUUGAACAAAAUUACCAAAAUUGAAAGAAAAUAACGAACGAAUAAAAAAAUUUCUUGUUAAACAUUCAUACUUUCAGAGAUAAUUAAGUAUUGAUUAUGUAUUCUUGAAACUUGAAACAUCAUGACUUCAUGAGAAAUAAGUCAAUUAGGUACCGUUUAGUUUUAAGAAUUCAGAAUAAAAUGAUAUGGUAGGUAUAUGUGUAAUGGAAGUUAUCUGCUGCCAGUGGACACGUCAGAAAAUAUUUCAUUUCCCGAACAUACCGAACGUAGAAUGAAUACUGAGGAGGAAGUGUACAUAAAUAUGUAGAUAUUUUUGAAAAAUAUGAUGAAUUUUUAUUGAAAAAAUGUCGAGAAAUUUAAAACGUUUUUUGAAGUAUCUUUUUUUGACAUAAUAACAAAUUUAAAAAUAAACGGAAGAGUCAAAAAUGAAAUGAAAUAAAACUUGAACCAAAAUAUGUACACUUAAUUUAAUGCUUCUGAAAAAAAUCAACAGCGUCAAGUAUAUUUUUUCUGACACGUUAAAUUUUUUAAAAAGAGCUGUAAUUUGAAAUGUAAAAAAAUUCUGAGUAAUUUUGACAAUUUAAAAAAAACAGAAGGAACAUUACAUUGUGAGAAAAUAGGUCUGAUUUGGAUACCUUUCGUUAUCAGCAAGGGUGAUGAAAUCGAUUCAUUUCGUGUGCCCCAGAUUUAUUUUUUGUAUUUAUUGUUUAUCUCGAGUUUAUUUGUUAACGAAAGAAUUUAAUUUUAAAACAUAUAUGUACCUAGGUCUAGGUAGUAGGUAUAUUAUAAUUCACUAGCUAGGUACUCAAAAUCGUUCAAAACCGUUUCCAACCAAAAAAUUCGAAAAAUUUGAAAAAACAAUAGGUUUGGUACCUACCUACCUAGUACCUACCUAUUGUUAUAAUUCAUUAAUCAUUAGUUGUUUUGAAAUUCGGUCCUUUGAACAGCACGAACCAUGAACAUAUCAGAGUAAUAAAUUUGUCAAAAUCUGAAGCUUUGAAGUAUUUGUCGGUAUAACAAUAACACAGAACCCUAAGUAUAUAAAUACUUUACAAAUAUAGUUUCAACAAUAAUACGGUUUAGUGCAUUUAACGUUAAAUUGUUGUACUUUCUUGAAAAAAAUAGAAAUGGAAUCCCAUUAUUUAAUAAGCAUUGCAGUUAUGAUGGUUAUCGUGAUCUGUCAGAUAGGAACAACGUUCGAUAAAGUACUUGGCGGAGGAGGCGGUAAAAAAUGAUUUAACUCGAAUAAAUGAAGUAAUUUCAAACCAAGCACGCAAAUUAUUCCAACUACAAAAUAUGAUCACCAAACGUAUAAAAUUAUUCAAAAUUCACGUUCAACUCAUUCAAGGCAGUGAUGACUUCAAAAUUUUAAGGUAUCGAUUUCAGUAAUAAUGAAUAACAUAUCUUACCCACCUUUUGUUGCGAUAAAACGUAAUAUGUAUCCUUAUUCACAUAAUACAGUAAAUUCAGCAUUUUA